rnacentral:rRNA from 1 species
GGACCCGCACAAGCAGUGGAGCAUGUGGUUUAAUUCGACGCAACGCGAAGAACCUUACCAGCGUUUGACAUGGGAAGUACCGGUUACAGAAUGGUAACCUUCAGUUCGGCUGGCUUCCGCACAGGUGCUGCAUGGCUGUCGUCAGCUCGUGUCGUGAGAUGUUGGUUAAGUCCCGCAACGAGCGCAACCCUUAUCGUUAGUUACUAACAGUUCGGCUGAGGACUCUAGCGAAACUGCCGGUGAUAAGCCGGAGGAAGGUGGGGAUGACGUCAAGUCCUCAUGGCCCUUACACGCUGGGCUACACACGUGCUACAAUGGCCGGUACAGAGAGCAGCCACUACGCGAGUAGGCGCG